UCUAGAACUCGAGAUAUGGAAUGAACACUGAAUAAUGUCUAGGCUGCAGGAUAGAUUCUGACUUCUCUGCUGUUGCUAUAAUUUGAACUUGAAAACAGUCCUUUUAAAUCUUGUCCUCUUCAUGAAAGUUUUAGGCCUGUGUCUUAGCUUUCCAUA
rnacentral:pre_miRNA from 1 species